ACGGUACGGACUCUACAUGUCAAUACCGGCAACAAUGAAAUUUUUAGUAAGAGGAAAAUCCGUCGACUUAACAUCGUGAGNNN
rnacentral:tRNA from 1 species